rnacentral:rRNA from 1 species
UAAUACAGAGGGUGCAAGCGUUGCUCGGAUUUACUGGGCGUAAAGCGUACGCAGACGGCCACGCAGGUCGGGUGUGAAAGCCCCGGGCUCAACCCGGGAAUUGCAUUCGAAACCAUGUGGCUCGAGUGUGGGAGAGGGUAGUGGAAUUCCUGGUGUAGAGGUGAAAUUCGUAGAUAUCAGGAGGAACACCGGCGGCGAAGGCGGCUACCUGGUCCACAACUGACGUUCAGGUACGAAAGCGUGGGGAGCAAACAGGAUUAGAUACCCUGGUAGUCCACGCCGUAAACGAUGUGUGCUGGAUGUCGGGGGUAUUCACCCCCUCGGUAUCGAAGCCAACGCGCUAAGCACACCGCCUGGGGAGUACGGCCGCAAGGUUG